rnacentral:lncRNA from 1 species
UAACAUUGAGCCAACUUAAGCAUCUUCGUCCGGAAAUAAAAGAAAUUUGAAUGAAACAUAACAUUUUUGCAUGAUUAUUUGGUGGUGGAUAGCAAUACCCCUAACUCGUUUUCUUAAUUUGUGAACUACUUAAAAUUUGUUUCUAUCCUGUUUUUGUUCGAUUUAAUUUAAAUAGCAAAUCAACUCCAAAAAUCCCAAAAAUUUGUGUGAGUGUAGCUUUGUGUGUCUAGUAUCUGCAUAUAAAAUCGUAGACUUUAGAUAAGUAUAAGUAUAAGUCGGUCUAAUAAUUAUUUUUCGGUGGCUGGUCAGUAGGGACAGCAACCCAGUUUUUGUGACAUUUUAGGUAGUU